UGCUCCAGCAGGUCUGUGCAGGGCAGCGUGGCUGGAGCGGUAGUGAGAGCGGGGCCGGCUCUCCAGGCGUGCCCAAGCCUGUCAGUGCCAGAGAGCUGUGUGAACACUCUCACAGGGUCUCAGAGACCUACCUGCUCAGAGUGGUCUGCCUGACUACGAGCGUGGGUGGGGCUGUGUGGCCACUGCCUAGUGGCCUUGGUGGCUGAGCUUCCUAGAAUGGGCUGUUCCUUGAUCCCGGGACCAGAGGAGGGUGGGCUAACAGCCUGCCUACUUAGGGAGGGAGCUCAGUGCAGAGCUGCCCAGGACCAGCUGGAUUCCGCAAUUAAAGUCCUAGGCAGAGGAUGGGGACGGAAUAGUGGCACAGCCCAGCACCAGUCCAGCGCUCCAUUCAUCACUGCCCAAGGGCAGCUGCACAACCUUCACAAUGAUCCCAGGAAGAGGGAAGGAAGGGGAAGCGCCGGCUCCUUGGAACGGGAGCACUAUUUGACAUAAAUGAAGACAAGGACAAUGAUCAAGUCUGAAAGAGAGUUAAUUGAAAACGACCGGCCUGCUCUGAUCUGCAGUUUGUGCUCCUUAGGAGGAUUUUGGAAGCCAGGGUAAGUCAAAUGCUUUGAUAUGAGGGUUCAUCCUAGGAGGCACAAACACCGUACUUUAUUGACUUCAAAUCAGGAAAAGGCCAACUUCACAGCAGCUCAGAGGAAAGCUACUUUCCAGGUGACUCCUCUCUUAAUUGCAGUGCUCGUUAAAAUUGUGUUUUCUUCCCCCUACAAGAUCUAGACAAGCUCUUUAAAAAGUAUCAAAGAAUGGGGAAAUACAGAGUGGACAUUAAGGGUUUGACUCUAUUUUUCUCUGGACCAAAUACCCCGCUGUUUUGGUUAAAAGAUAAAGAAGUUUGGUUAAGAACUCAUUUCUCUUUUAAUGCAGCUGUGACUCAAGAAGUAAUGCACACCGGGCAUGGUGGCUCACGCCUGUAAUCCCAGCCCUUGGGAGGCUGAGGCAGGAGGAUCAUUGCAAGUUCGAGGCCAGCCUGGGCUACAAAGUGAGCUCAAGGCCAGCCUGAAUUGCAUAGCGAGACCCUGUCUCAAAAAGACAAAAAAAAAAAAAAAUUAUGAGCACCUGUCUUGAAAGAAUCGAAUUAGUUAUCUAUAACUGAACUACAUUUCAUUUAUUCUCUUCCAUGUCAUCCAAGUUUCUGUUCAAUGUCAUCUCUUCAGGCAAACUGUCAGAUGACCUCUCUGCUUACAUUAGUGUCCCUUUGUCCUCAAUCAAUAAUUGCCUGUAAGGUAUUUAGUACUGGCGUGUGCUUAUUUCUCUAUCUUGCUAAUUUGGUUUGCUGUGACCUGCACGCAGGCAGGGACUUGGUUUAGUUUAGUAUUAAGGACAGUAGGAGUCUAUUUAGCCCCUAGACCCUGCCUGGCACAUUAAACUGAAAGCCCAAACAACUAGGGACAAGAAUUUUGACAUUUCCUCGUAAUAAACUCUAUUCACUUUUUUCUUUGGGUUGAAACCCAUCUCAUUACACUUUUCUUCUAUUUUUUAUGAUGAAGGAAUAAUAGACAAGAGUGUCAUUGGCAAUAAUCAACAGAAAAGCUAAUUUUGCUUGUGGUACAGGGCAACACCAAAAGAUUAAUGGCUGAGAAAAUAAGAAAGGUACCACAGAACAGCAUGUCCUUAACAUAAAUAUACUUCAGAAAUGAGUGAUGUAAAUUAUGUGAGAACUACCAUACAUUUCUUCAUAUGUGUUACAUAUGAUUGCAUUAGUGUGUCAGCUUUUAUGAAUGAACUAUACUGUG
ensembl:lincRNA